UACGUAGGGGGCGAGCGUUGUCCGGAUUUAUUGGGCGUAAAGAGCUCGUAGGCGGCUAAGUAAGUCAGGUGUGAAAACUCCAGGCUCAACCUGGAGACGCCACCUGAUACUGCUUUGGCUAGAGUCCGGUAGGGGAGCAUGGAAUUCCUGGUGUAGCGGUGAAAUGCGCAGAUAUCAGGAGGAACACCAGUGGCGAAGGCGGUGCUCUGGGCCGGAACUGACGCUGAGGAGCGAAAGCGUGGGUAGCAAACAGG
rnacentral:rRNA from 1 species